rnacentral:rRNA from 1 species
CCGAAAUUUCCCUUAGGAUAGCAAUAGCUGGUGGUCCAGUUUCAUCAGGUAAAGCUAAUGAUUAGAGGUAUUGGGGACGAAAGGUCCUCGGCCUAUUCUCAAACUUUAAAUGGGUGAGAGCGGUCGGUUGCUUGGGUGAACUGACCGAUGGAAUGGACGGUUAUUAGUGGGCCAUUUCUGGUAAGCAGAACUGGCGAUGCGGGAUGAUCCGAACGCUCGGGCUAAAGUGCCAGAGUGCCCGCUCAUGCAGAUCCCACAAAAGGUGUUGGUUCAUUCAGACAGCAGGACGGUGGCCAUGG